UGGGGAAUAUUGGACAAUGGGCGAAAGCCUGAUCCAGCCAUGCCGCGUGGAUGAAGAAGGCCCUAGGGUUGUAAAGUCCUUUCAAUGGUGAAGAUAAUGACGGUAGCCAUACAAGAAGCCCCGGCUAAUUUCGUGCCAGCAGCCGCGGUAAUACGAAAGGGGCAAGCGUUGUUCGGAAUUACUGGGCGUAAAGCGCACGUAGGCGGCCUUGUAAGUUGGGGGUGAAAUCCCGGAGCUCAACUCCGGAACUGCCUCCAAAACUACAAAGCUAGAGGAUGUGAGAGGAUAGUGGAAUUCCGAGUGUAGAGGUGAAAUUCGUAGAUAUUCGGAAGAACACCAGUGGCGAAGGCGACUGUCUGGCACAUUUCUGACGCUGAGGUGCGAAAGCGUGGGGAGCAAACAGGAUUAGAUACCCCCGUAGUCC
rnacentral:rRNA from 1 species